AUACGGAGGGGGUUAGCGUUGUUCGGAAUUACGGGGCGUAAAGCGCACGUAGGCGGACUGGAAAGUUGGGGGUGAAAUCCCGGGGCUCAACCCCGGAACUGCCUCCAAAACUUCCAAUCUAGAGAUCGAGAGAGGUGAGUGGAAUUCCAAGUGUAGAGGUGAAAUUCGUAGAUAUUUGGAGGAACACCAGUGGCGAAGGCGGCUCACUGGCUCGAUACUGACGCUGAGGUGCGAAAGCGUGGGGAGCAAACAGGAUUAGAAACCCUAGUAGUCC
rnacentral:rRNA from 1 species